CUGCCGCCCCUCGUUGACCUGCCGCUGCCCCUCCUAUCAGCAGUCCUCCGCCAAACAGCUGCCCUCCCUGAUCGGUGCCCAAAGACAUUAGAAAUUGAGCAGGUCUUUCUCUAUGGCUGUUAGGAAAUCGCUUUUGCAAAGAGAAUUAGAUUCGAUGAUGAUUCAUCAUAUCAGCAGCUUGAAUUGUACAAACUUUUUCCAACAAAAAAGGAAGAUGCGGAGAUUAUGUCCAUGGCCAUCAUAUUCAUGUAUUGCCUACCAAGCCUGCAGCAGAUACUCAUGUAUUGCCUAAAAAAAUAGAACAUCAUAACAUACGCUAUCAUGGGCUAUGCCUAUGCAUGCGGCAAGAGGAUCAUGGCCUAUACGCUGUGUUGUAUAUCAGCAGAGCUUGAUCAUGGCCUAUACACCUAUACUGCCAGUGACAAGUUGUUGGCAUGAGUUUUUUUUUGGUGCACAAUACUACCAUAUAUUACUAUAUCUGCAUAGGACUCGUAUUACUACUAUCUGCAUAGGACUCAUAUAUAAAGAUCGUACGGUUAAGAUUUAUUCUAUACUACUGAAACAUGAUCAGUGGUACAAGGGAGUAUAACUAGAUAAUAUAGGUAGUAUAAAGAUAUUAUGGGAAAGAUUAUUAUCCCUUUUUUAAUUAUCAUUCUCUUUUCAUAAUUUGAUUAUCAUCCCUUCCUUUCUCACAUUCAACUUAGCAUUUACAUCCCUUCUCUUGUCUUUCUGUCACGAUCAAGCGACAGCCUAGGGUUUCUGCGCCCGUGCCGGAAUCGCCGCCGGGGAAUCGUCCCAGGCAUCGCCGCCAGUCGCCUUCGUAAAGUCGGCCGCGGCACGACGCCGGGAAGUCGGACUGCGCACGCCCCGCCGCUCGCCGCCGGGAUCCGGAUCGGGCUCCCGCUCGGCACUCGACUCCUUGGCGGCGGCGGCCCUCGAAUCUCUGAUUUCCCUCCGCCGCCCCUGGCCAAAGCCGGCCACUGAUCUGCUCGCCGCCCGUCCACGAGCGCCGCCGGCCUCGGGUUGGAUCGACGAGGGCACCGCGGCCCUGGACCUACAGUGCCUCGUGCUUGCGAGGGCGCUGCAGCCGCGAUGGGCCCGCGCGUGGUGGCCUGGGGGCCAGGCCGAUGGCCUUGGUGCCGCCGGCCCUCCGUGCGGAGGCCCUCUCCUUUCUCCUCCCCUGCGGUGGUGGCCUGGGGGCCAGGCCGGAGGCCCUCUCCUCCCCUGCGGUGCGGCGUCGUUGAGACCGCCAUGGCUGCUGCCUGCUGCGCAAGGUGAUCCUGAGGCGUGUGUGGCUGACUGCACCAACAAAAUCGGAGCCUUUGCACCAAGUGCAGCCAAGAUCAACUGCUGAAGUACUGAUCCAUGAAUGGUGGCUUUGAGAGUCAUUCUCACUGGCAGAGUUUGAUAAAUGCUAUGCAGCAAUUAGGAUGUUCAGAGUUCAGACAAUGAUAUAGUAUAUAUCAUAAUGAUAAAAUAAAAAUAACCAGCUCAUGCUAUCCACUAGCUGCCCUUUAAUUGAGGAGCUGCAGCUUGUAUCUUUUGAUCAGUAUGAUCUCCUCCAUGUACUCUGUUGCUAAGGUUUAAUUACAGUUUCUCAUCCACAAAAAUAAGAUUGUCGUCGAAACUGUCCCUCACUAGAUUGGCUGAAGGAUCCAUAUAGAAGGGCAUAGGAAAUCAUGAAGUGGUUUUGAAUCAUACUCUGCUUCUGAAUGCCAAAUAGGAAAAAUCAUUUGUACUGUUGAUCAAAUAAAGCAAGUGAAAGGGAAAAGUGUAAGCAAA